AUUGAACGCUGGCGGCAGGCCUAACACAUGCAAGUCGCACGAGUGGCGGCCGUGUUAGUAAUGUCUGGGUAACUGCCUGAUGGAGGGGGAUAACUACUGGAAACGGUAGCUUAUACCGUAUACCUUCGUAUCUCCCCAUAUGGGAUUAGCUAGUAGGUGGUGUAAAGGCUCACCUAGGCGACGAUCGCUAGCUGGUCUGAGAGGAUGACCAGCCAUACUGGAACUGAGACACGGUCCAGACUCCUACGGGAGGCAGCAGUGGGGAAUAUUGCACAAUGGGCGCAAGACUGAUGCAGCCAUGCCGCGUGUAUGAAGAAGGCCUUCGGGUUGUAAAGUACUUUCAGCGGGGAGGCGUUACCCACAGAAGAAGCACCGGCUAACUCCGUGCCAGCAGCCGCGGUAAUAC
rnacentral:rRNA from 1 species